rnacentral:lncRNA from 1 species
GGUAGCAAGCAAGACAAUUAAAUACAGCAAGAGACAUAAUUAAAAUUGCUUGCAGUCCUUGAGGGGUCUUUAUCAGCGUGAUACUGACCUAAAAGAGCACUGUUUACCUAAGAACAGAGAGUAUGCCACAACCCAUCUAACCCCAGAAGAAUUUCUACUUAGGUACUAAUAAAUGCAAAAUGGAGCUAUGUUGAUAGUGACUGAUUGCAAUGAGCUCAUUGUCCAGACAGUGCAUCUCACACUGAGAAAAUGAAACCAGAUUUGGAUAUUUGCCAAUUCGAAUUUCAGUUUGAAUUCUGUGUCUUUUCCUUGUUUUUCAAACUCUGUUGCUCUGCAUGUGAGCUGUGUUUGAAGCAUGUUGACGCUCCCUGCCUUGAUGCAGCUGGCACCCCAGAUCGAUUACUGGAUGCUCAACUUGAAAACACUUGAAAGGAAAACCACAGGGCAGACGAUACAGUCGGUUCUGGGGUCUGCUGGAUGUUGGCUGACCCAGCAUUGCUUCAUCCCAGCAGAGUUCCUUUAUUUUGUGUCUCGGCAUUGAAAACCAUGGAGACUUUCAAAUACCCUGCAAACUAAUUAAAUUUUCCAGUGGCUAUCACAACAUUGAUAUGAUAAUUCAAAGCAUUACUUUCUAAAAUGUAGUCUGAAUGAUGAGAGCGCCCUUUUUUAUUUUCCCUAAUUUAGUGCAAAGUACUUUCAACCUCAACUUCUUUUUGUUUUUUCCUCUGCAGAGGUGCCCAGAGGAGCAUAAUUGCAGGUUGAUGACUCUGAUCCUAUCAGCAACUAAUAAGACUGUAGGCACUCAGACAUAUUUGGAUUUUAUUGUCAUUUCUCAAGACCCAGUCUGGGGUAGGGUCUCCACCUCCAUGCACAGGUGUUAUUGAAUGGCAGAAAAAUAGGAACAAGAAAAGAAUCCUAACCUCUGUCAGCUGCCAUGAUCCAACUAUCCUGAAUUGGAGUGCUCAACUUGCCUGGCUUUCUUCUGUGGCUGGACAAACGCAAGCAGAAAAUCAAACAAAUACUAGCUCCUAAAACUGUAAACAACUGAAAAAAAAUAUCAAACCACCACAUAUUCCAAUGUGUUGGUACAGCAACUGUCAUCUGAAUGCUUUUGAGAUGUAUUUAUUGCACUCUUCCCUCCUCUCUUAAUUGGGGUGAGAGGAGAGGUCAUCUACAGGCAGGAGACAAGUCAGCACAGCCAUGUGGUUUGUACAAUGUCAUAAUUCCAUGAAAAAGGACUAAAAACCUUAACAGCCUGAUACUGAGCUCAUGUGUGAUCCAAAAGUCUGCCACUUCCAUGCUGCAAGGUAAUGACAAAAUAAAACAACUGGGAAAGAGAAGAGCCUUGCA